UGAACCAUGAUAAUCUUUUUGCCUAUUUUGCA
rnacentral:piRNA from 1 species